UUGACCUCGGAUCAGGUAGAAUGCCCG
rnacentral:rRNA from 1 species